UACGUAGGGGGCAAGCGUUGUCCGGAAUCAUUGGGCGUAAAGCGCGUGUAGGCGGCUCGAUAAGUCUGCUGUGAAAGUCCAGGGCUCAACCCUGGGAUGCCGGUGGAUACUGUCGAGCUCGAGUCCGGAAGAGGCGAGUGGAAUUCCUGGUGUAGCGGUGAGAUGCGCAGAUAUCAGGAGGAACACCAAUGGCGAAGGCAGCUCGCUGGGACGUGACUGACGCUGAGACGCGAAAGCGUGGGGAGCAAACAGG
rnacentral:rRNA from 1 species